rnacentral:lncRNA from 1 species
GCUGAGGCUUCCAAGUCAAGAGUCCAGCUAAGCUCUCUCACGAAUGUCAGGAUCAGACGUACUUACUCUUUCUGAAUCCCCUUACUCCUUUGUCCCAGAGCCAUUUAUAUUCAGUGCUUCUAAAGUGGAGUACCCUGAUAGAUCUCCUUUUCUCCAACCUCCACAUCCUCUCUCUCUCUCUCUCUCUCUCUCUCUCUCUCUCUCUCUCUCUCUCUCUCUCUCAUUGCUCAUAUCAGGAAGAACUUAAUGGAACCAAAUUUACUCGGCCUCUCCAGCCUGAAGCCUCGCCUCAUUUAUCUCUCUCUCUCUCUCACUUUUCUCUAAUCCUCAAAUCCACUUAGUUUACCAGGCUGAUCUCAUUCUGCUUCACAAACACUUCUCAAAUCUCUGCUUACUGUGACUGCCGAAUUCUGCAUUGUGACUCGCCCAGACCUCUCCCCCCUUCCCUGCCUCUGGCUCCUGUCACCUUUCACCCACCUAGCUCCGAGUGUUCAUUUGUUUCCUCUCUUCACUGGGUUAGAGUCCCCUGUCCCUAACAUGGCACCCAAGCCACGCUGAUCAAUACGGCACAUGGCUGCCUCGUGCAAAUCAAAUCUGCUCCUACCAGAUAAAUGAGAACGAAAUGAAAACCCGGCCCAGUGCCGUGAAAAUGAAUCUUUGUGGCUCGGGACACAAUUACGAGUGACAGUAUCAUUGGUGGGUUAUGAAGGAGACGGAUCUUAAAUAACUCAGGAGGGAGCAGAAAUUAUGUGCUGUUGAAAUGUUGUUCGAUAACAGAAAGUUCUCCUGUGAGGGGGCCAAUGGCAGCAUCCACGAUGCAGAGAUUGGCGAACAUUGCUCCGUGCCAGGUAUAAAGGAGCAAAGGGACGUUUCUGAUUGGUGCAUCUCAUACGCCAUCCCACGCGUGCAUACGGAAUGGAAUUAGCUCAUCGUUACCAGUCCACAUUUGGGUGCUGCACCCAGACCUGUGUCUUCAAAAAUGCAUGCACUGUGGUGGAGAGUGCGCUCUGCUUCAGCGGGAAGAUCAGACAUUUGCUUCAUAUCCAGAGUCCGUGCGUAUUUGGAUUAGGACUUUGUCUGGCCACUAGGGCUCCUCCUGAUCGCUGCGUUUGAUCCCCCUAGCCUCAAGGCUCUGCAGUGAAUGCUGACUUUGAGUGAGACAAUCUUAGGGCUGGUGAGUAGACAACGGUGCCGCUGCGUGAAUUCUGGAAGAUCAUAAAUGCUUAGAAAUAUCCUUACUUAGAGCAAAGAAGGUUCUAGAAGGUGUGGUCAUUCAAUCCAAGCAGACACCCGUGAGUGUCCGUUAACCCCCAACCUUGGGUAAUGGGUAGAUCCAAGGUCCUGGGGCCCAAUUAUGUGACUUGUUUACAUUCACUAAGGUUCGGGGUUGAAAGCACACAGAGUUCUGCACGGCUCUCAGUGCUGUGGUCAAGCACCCAAGCACACAGGUAGGCCUGUGUAUGUGUUCUUUAGAGUUUAAUAGCAUUUAAAAUGUAGGAAAGCGUAAGUUUAGACUCAGGGUCCAACUUAAGAUUAGGGCAGAAAUGAGACAUCUGCAUCUCACUCUUUAGUUAUCUGUUAAAACAGCGGACCCCAGAAAUUGGAGUUUCCCCAGGAGUCUCUUGAUGGGAGACACAAGGGGCUGAUGCCUGGUGCCAGCCAGAGGAGAAGCUUGUCUUCUGGCUGACAAUCCGUCAGACCACCUCGCAGGAGAGACCAGGACCAAGACAUUGAUGGGUGAUGGACAGGACCCUGUCCAGGCCAAUCUGCUUAUUUGGCUUCCGUUUAAACUUAAACCUCAUGCUAGUGCCCCUAAGGUGGACCUGGGAUGAGGGAGGUGGUCGCCGGGCCUCUUUGUUAUCCUUUCCAAUGUGGCCGCAUUUAAUAAAUCCCCUCCCCCUCUCAGACUUUAGCUUCUCCUUGGCAGUUUCAUUGCCAUGUUGAGGGUGAGAAGCUGAAUCUGGCUUGCCGAGGGGCUUCCAGGGCUCAAACUCUGACCUUAGGCACUCCAGAGACACUGAGAUGACGAACAAGGACCCCGCUUGACACACCGUGGCUUCAUUCCUGGGCCCUUGAAAUACUCUGUCCCAGUUAGUAGGAUUUUUGGGAAGAAUUUUCCAGCUCCUGAAACAUUUCUGAAAAUC